CAGCACCUUGUCUGAUGGUUAGCACUGUUGCCUAACAGCAAGAAGGUCCUGGGACUGCUUCCCAUUUGGUCCUUUCUUUGUGGAAUUUGCAUAUUGUCCCUGUGUUCAUGUGGGUUUCCUCUGGCUUCCUCCU